rnacentral:rRNA from 1 species
UACGGAGGGUGCGAGCGUUAAUCGGAAUUACUGGGCGUAAAGCGCGCGUAGGCGGCUUUGUAAGUCAGAGGUGAAAGCCUGGAGCUCAACUCCAGAACUGCCUUUGAGACUGCAUCGCUCGAAUCCGGGAGAGGUGAGUGGAAUUCCGAGUGUAGAGGUGAAAUUCGUAGAUAUUCGGAAGAACACCAGUGGCGAAGGCGGCUCACUGGACCGGUAUUGACGCUGAGGUGCGAAAGCGUGGGGAGCAAACAGG